AAGUCGUAACAAGGUUUCCGUAGGUGAACCUGCGGAAGGAUCAUUUAUAAAUACUUUGCGGUAGUACUUUUGUACUCUGCUUAUUAUAAAUACUCUAACCUGUGAACCAAUGGUACUUGGCAUUAGGAGAAUAUAAAGGGCAUUCUCAACGCCAAACUAGGCAACUAGUGGACAUGCUAGCCUGUAAUAGCAGUCAGUAUCAUAUUGCAUUUAGGUAACUGUGCGACUUGAGAGCAAGACUUCGGUCUUACGCACUUUGCCUUCUUGCUUAAAAACAUUAGAGGGUUAUUAAAACAUUAUUUAACUUUAAUUAAUAAUUACAACCUUUAACAAUGGAUCUCUUGGCUUCU
rnacentral:misc_RNA from 1 species